UGACGAGAGUGGGAUUCGAACCCACGCCCCCGAAGGGACUGGUGCCUUAAACCAGCGCCUUAUUUUUCUUUUUUUUUUUUUUUUUUUUGGGACCGCUCGGCCAUCUCGCC